GAUGAACGCUAGCGGCAGGCUUAAUACAUGCAAGUCGAGGGGCAGCAGUUUUGUAGCAAUACAGAAGCUGGCGACCGGCAAACGGGUGCGGAACACGUACGCAACCUUCCUUUAACUGGGAGAUAGCCCACCGAAAGGUGGAUUAAUAUCCCAUAGUAUAUUUGAGUGGCAUCACUUAGAUAUUAAAGCUCCGGCGGUUAAAGAUGGGCGUGCGUCUGAUUAGGUAGUUGGCGGGGUAACGGCCCACCAAGCCCACGAUCAGUAGCUGAUGUGAGAGCAUGAUCAGCCAAACGGGCACUGAGACACGGGCCCGACUCCUACGGGAGGCAGCAGUAAGGAAUAUUGGUCAAUGGACGCAAGUCUGAACCAGCCAUGCCGCGUGGAGGAUGAAGGUCCUCUGGAUUGUAAACUUCUUUUCUUUGGGACGAAACCCCUGUUUCUACGGGGACUGACGGUACCAGAGGAAUAAGCACCGGCUAACUCCGUGCCAGCCGCCGCGGUAACAC
rnacentral:rRNA from 1 species